GACGAACGCUGGCGGCGUGCUUAACACAUGCAAGUCGAACGGAUUGCUUGGUGCUUGCACUGAGUGGUUAGUGGCGAACGGGUGAGUAACACGUGAGUAACCUGCCCCCUUCUUUGGGAUAAGCACCUGAAAGGGUGUCUAAUACUGAUUAUUCUGCUGGAAUCGCAUGGUUUUGGUUGGAAAGGUUUUUCUGGUGGGGGAUGGGCUCGCGGCUUAUCAGCUUGUUGGUGGGGUAAUGGCUUACCAAGGCUUUGACGGGUAACCGGCCUGAGAGGGUGACCGGUCGCAUUGGUACUGAGGUACGGCCCAGACUCCGACGGGAGGCAGCAGUGGGGAAUAUUGCACAAUGGACGAAAGUCUGAUGCAGCGACGCCGCGUGAGGGAUGAAGGCCUUCGGGUUGUAAACCUUUUUCGCUUUUGACCAAGGCAGCAUUUUGGUGUUGUUGAGGGUAUGAGGUAAAGAAGCUCCGGCUAACUACGUGCCAGCCGCCGCCGUAACAC
rnacentral:rRNA from 1 species